rnacentral:rRNA from 1 species
GACGAACGCUGGCGGCGUGCUUAACACAUGCAAGUCGAACGGAAAGGCCCUGCUUUUGUGGGGUGCUCGAGUGGCGAACGGGUGAGUAACACGUGAGUAACCUGCCCUUGACUUUGGGAUAACUUCAGGAAACUGGGGCUAAUACCGGAUAGGAGCUCCUGCUGCAUGGUGGGGGUUGGAAAGUUUCGGCGGUUGGGGAUGGACUCGCGGCUUAUCAGCUUGUUGGUGGGGUAGUGGCUUACCAAGGCUUUGACGGGUAGCCGGCCCGAGAGGGUGACCGGGCACAUUGGGACUGAGAUACGGACCAGAGUCCUACGGGGGGCAGCAGGGGGGAAUAUGGCACAAUGGGCGGGAGCCUGAGGCAGAAACGCCGGGGGCGGGAUGACGGCCUUUGGGGUGUAAACCGCUUUCGCCUGUGACGAAGCGUGAGUGACGGUAAUGGGUAAAGAAGCACCGGCUAACUACGUG